rnacentral:rRNA from 1 species
ACUCCUACGGGAGGCAGCAGUGAGGAAUAUUGGGCAAUGGAGGCAACUCUGACCCAGCCAUGCCGCGUGCAGGAAUAAGGUCCUAUGGAUUGUAAACUGCUUUUAUACAGGAAGAAACCUCUCUACGUGUAGGGACUUGACGGUACUGUAUGAAUAAGCACCGGCUAACUCCGUGCCAGCAGCCGCGGUAAUACGGAGGGUGCAAGCGUUAUCCGGAAUCAUUGGGUUUAAAGGGUCCGCAGGCGGUCAAUUAAGUCAGAGGUGAAAUCCAGUCGCUUAACGAUUGAACUGCCUUUGAUACUGGUUGACUUGAGUCAUAUGGAAGUAGAUAGAAUGUGUAGUGUAGCGGUGAAAUGCUUAGAUAUUACACAGAAUACCGAUUGCGAAGGCAGUCUACUACGUAUGUACUGACGCUCAUGGACGAAAGCGU